CCUCAUACUCACAGCUGAACCUGCAAUGUUAAGUUUCAAAGCAUCGUCAACUAAACUUGAUAAGUCAAGCCCUCUUCUGGAUCAUCGUCCUCAAAAAAUUCCCAUAAUCUUCUCCUCCUAAACUCAAUUUGUUCCCCUUGAAAUGAAACUUUUUUUGCAGAUUUUGUUUCAUUUUCAACAACCUCCCCUUGUUCAGCCUCUUCAUUGUCUUGGUUUGUGAAGAUAAGUUAGAAUUAUCUACAUUUUCGAAAGCUAUAAUUGCUUCCUUGGUGUCCCAAAACAAACCCUCUAGUUCAUUGUACAUGGUUUUGUGUAAAUUGCUCACGAGAAACUCGGGGGCAUCGGGGCCAUUAAAUCCAUCAUAAAUUUCGACAAAAUGAACAUUGCAAGAAUUUGA
rnacentral:lncRNA from 1 species